GGAGAGGUGUACCGAAUGGUAAGGUACCGGUUUCGAAAACCGGCGUCCGUAAGGACAUGCGAGUUCGACUCUCGCCCUCUCCGCCA
rnacentral:tRNA from 1 species